rnacentral:rRNA from 1 species
UGAGUAACGCGUGGGUAACCUGCCCUUAAGUCUGGGAUACCAUUUGGAAACAGAUGCUAAUACCGGAUAAAAGCUACUUUCGCAUGAAAGAAGUUUAAAAGGCGGCGUAAGCUGUCGCUAAAGGAUGGACCUGCUAUGCAUUAGCUAGUUGGUAAGGUAACGGCUUACCAAGGCGAUGAUGCAUAGCCGAGUUGAGAGACUGAUCGGCCACAUUGGGACUGAGACACGGCCCAAACUCCUACGGGAGGCAGCAGCU